UCCUAGAAGCUUGAAGCCUAGCU
rnacentral:miRNA from 1 species